UCUACGGGUGGCUGCAGUGAGGACUAUUGGUCAAUGGCCGGAAGGCUGAACCAGCCAAGCCGCGUGAAGGACGAAGGUGCCAAGCAUUGUAAACUUCUUUUGUCAAGGGACAAAAUCAGGCUCGAGAGCCUGACCGAGGGUACUUGAAGAAAAAGCAUCGGCUAACUCCGUGCCCGCGGCCGCGUUAAUACGGGGGAUGCGAGCGUUAUCCGGUUUUAUUGCGUUUAAAGGGUGCGUAGGCGGACUGUUAAGUCAGCGGUACAAGCCCGGGGCGAAACCCCGGCGAGCCGUUGAAACUGGCUGUAGUGAGAUGUCGAGAGGUAUGCGGAAUGCGCGGUGUAGCGGUGAAAUGCUUAGAUAUUGCGCAGAACUCCGAUUGCGAAGGCAGCAUACCGGCGGCGAUCUGACGCUGAGGCACGAAAGCGUGGGUAUCGAACAGGAUUAGAUACCCUAGUAGUC
rnacentral:rRNA from 1 species